GAAAAUGGGGUACUUGGGGGAAAAACAGUUUUAGACUCUGAAAAAUGAAUCAUCUAACCCAGUAGUUGCAGGUGGCUAAAAUCAGUCACUGCUUUGGGCAAACUGGCUGCAUCCAGGGAUUCAAGCUCUGUGAAUGGCUUUGGCCAUUUCUCUUCUCUGGGCAGACUUCCUCCAAGCCACAGAUAUAACUCAGGCAAACCAACUUUACACCCUAGCUCUCGGGGCUCAGGCUGAGCACAGUCCUGUAUCCAGCCACAGCCCGGGUCUUCCAACCAUAGACCCGCAUUAUAGGUGUGCCCAACACAACCCGGAUGGAUUGAACCAAGAGUCUCUGACAAUGAGGGGCAAAAGGUGGUGGCUCAUGGUAUGAUACAAGCUAAGCAUGCGCAAGGCUGUGGGUUCAAAUCUCCAGCUCUUGGAGCAGGGGUGGAGGCAGAAGGGGUGCUGGGUAGAAAAAACUAUAGAUGUCUAUUAUAUAAGAAAAUGUUUUAAUUAAACCAUGAACAUUGAAAAAAGGCUUGAAUAUUCCAUAAUUAUUUACUGUGUUCACUCGAGGAUUUCCUCUUGUGUUUUAUAAAAUGUUCUCCUAAAGCCAAGUGCUUUUAGAUUAAAAAAAUAGUCACAGAGUGAUGAAAUUAGCAAUGUAUAUAACAGAUGCAAAAUUUAUAUUCUGAUAUAAAAGGACUCUGCUUGAGCUCAAGAUGCUCCAGUUUCAGCCUUGUAGGGGCCGAGAUUGUGAGAAAAGAGACCAGCCAUCUCACAGAGAUGUAGGAUGUUUAUACGUCCCAGGUGAUGUGGACAGAUUGGAGAAAGGCUCCUGCCUGUGGUUAUCUCUGUGUGAUGCCUUCAUGGUGGAGAGUGGUGAAGGCCUUGUGGGUGAUGCCCAGGCAUAUGGCCAUCCAGAAAGAAGAGUAGGACCAUCCUGGCCCAGUCUCACAGACACAGCUUGAAUCACAAGCUUGUGACUCAUGAGCACCAGUUCCUCAGCCUGUGAAAUGAAAUAGAAGAGCUCACCAGCACUACGGGCUGGAGGGGUGACAGAAAUGAGAUAGACGUCCCGUCCUCAGGUGUUAGUGUCAGCUCAAACAGCCUGAAAAGGGAGAUUACCAAGAUGCCAUUUCUCACUAGGCAGGCCCACUGUGCUGCCUGUGAGGCUGUUUAUUGUAGCACUAUGUGUAAAGUUAAGCUUUCUCAACAUUUCAAGUGUCUAGUCACAGGAGAGGAAGGAUAGAGUCAUGCUAUUGUGAUGUCAUCUCCAGAUCAUGUCCCAGGGAGAAAACCAAAUUGCGGAAACUGCUAUGCUGCAGUUUAAAUGGGAGAUUUUUCUACAGUUUCUCUAACCGUGUUGUGGUUUUAGGGAUACAGCUCAGAGCCUGUUGUCUACAUCCUUCAUGAUGAGUACUGAACAGGCGACAACUUGGGACUUACAGUGGACAUCUCAGCUAGGGGAGCAUUCUUGUAGACUGAGCCUUCAACCCGUUGGAUCUGAUGCUUGGUGGGUAUCAGGAAGUCCAUAUGACCUGCGAUUUUCCCAGGAGGCACAGCUUAGGCAGAUGACACAGGUCAUUAGUGAAGUAUUUUUGCCAGAUUUACCAUUUACAAGGAAAGCAGGGUGAGUGUACACCAUGGGAUUAUGCCAGAGAAACAGAAAAAUUGAGAAGUCUUCCAGGAUGUGACACACCCUUUUUUUUCAAUAAGUUCAUGGCUACAGUACUUAGUGGUACCCAGCAUAUGUUGGAUGUGGAACUUGUUUAGAUUUGAGCAAACUGGUGGGGGGCGGGUAGUGGGGGAAGGUAAAUUUGAAGAGUGUUUUAUAUUAAUUAUUCAUGUUUAGAGGUGACCUGAUAGUUCAUGUAUACACAAAAGGUUCUAGGUAGGAAAUCGAGCUCAGUGAUAGAACACUUGCCUAGCAUGCAGGGGCCCCUGAGUUCUCCCUCCUCUGGGAGUUCAUGGUGUAAGGAUAAAGCAGUAAGCCUAGCUCUACUUAAAGUCACCCACGAGUGAGAUGUAGAUUGAACAGACGUGUCCUGUGCCAGGAACUGUUGAAGUGGGUUAAUUUAUACAUUGAUUCAUCAUUAAGUUUUUUGUUUUCUGGGUUCUGCAAAACAUCUGGUACCUUUUGUCUGGGUAGGUUUGGGUGCAUAUAAAGAGUGGAUAACAUGGUGCUCGAGCAAUGGCUCAGCGGUUCAGGGCACCCAGUGCCCUCUCACAGGACCUGAGUUUGGUUACCACCACCCACAUACAUGCAGCAUUUACACACAUAGAUACAUAAAGUGUAUAUAAAAAUAGAUCUUUAGUAAAUAGUCAUAUUUUGUGAUUUUAAAUUAAAAAUCAUGAAACCCAGUCAGGUAGGAUGGCCACAUACCUGUAAUCUCAGCACUCCAGACACCUGAGCUACUUCGUAAGAUUCUGGUUUCAAACAAACAGUAACAAAAGACAAAACAAGGCACUCCCCACGCCAAAAGAAACUGCUGAGCUCUUCACGUUUUGGAAGUGAGGGUCUGAGAGCCCUGUUCUAAGUUCCUGUUUCUACUACUCGGGGAGGUGAUGGCCCUGCUUUGCAGUUGCUUGUUUUUCUAUACAUUCUUGCUCAGCAGCACUGUCAGUGGGAUUGGCGGUUGUGGGCUGGGAGCGGUCUGCUGGUGCUGGAGUUGAUUUGUAGUAGCUGGGGGUGUUGUAAUAGACUCACCCUCCUGCUAGCAGGAGACCUACCUCUGCAUGCCGUGGUCAUUACACUGCUUGGUGCGUGCUGCAUUAAUUAUCUAUAAGGGACCCUUUCCACAGGCCACCCUGCCUCUCUUGUCAUGCAUUGGGCCUUGACCAAGCACUGUAAAUGGCUGCUAUGUGAAGCCUAAAGCAGCUGAAUCUCAGUGUACAGUAAAAUGAUUUCACUCGUU